UGGUAUCAAAAUGAUGAAAUUUUGUGCUAGUUACGAAAUGAAAAAGAUUGCCGAAAAUGUACAGCACUACGCAGAAGCAUACCAGGCAUCGUAUCCAGGAGAAAACAAUGGCUAAUUGGAAAGUAUCACCUUAUUACAAAAAAUCGUGUGAAGAGCACGAACACUAUACCAAAGACGGAAUGACCAUCAUCCGUAAAACUGGUUACAGGGGAGCAACCUUCUUUGUAGAAACUAGCGACGACAAUCCCCCAGAGUUCGAGUUUGAUUUCGUACCCGGCGGCGACGGACGUAAAGAUAGUAUUAACAUGUAUGAAUGCUUCGGCAGCAACAUUGAAAAUGUUGAGCUUGAUAGUAUGUGGGAUGGUUGCUGGGAAGAUAUCGAGUACCCAAUUGAAAUGGAUGACGAAGAACAAGAACGUCUCGCAGAACUGAUUGAAGAAGAGGGCGACAUCUAUGAUGUGCUGGAAAAUCAAGAAGGAUGGAGUCAGGACGAAUGCCAGGCGUGGAUCUGGGGUCCUAUCCUUAUCGAAGACGAGAACGGCAACCAAGUACGCAUUAUUGUCGCAGAUGAAGACGGCAAUGUUGUAGAUUUCGAGGAAUAAUCAUGGCACGUACAAAGAAAACCACAGACGUUAAGGUAGUCAAAGGCAGUCACUUAACUGUGACCACUUUCCCAGACGGUCGCACUGAAUUGGAGUGGGACGAUGCAGCACUACUUCGUGAUGUACAGGCUGCUAUUGCCAGUGUCGAAGGACCAGUAACAGUAUCCGAUGAUGCACCAAAGCGCAGUCGAAAGAAAAAGGCCUAACAUGUCACAUUAUAGAAUCACCCCACUUGAAAAGAAAAGUAUUGAAGUUUUCUACGAACUAUACAGGGAUAAUCCCGAAACUGGAAUGGUCCAGUGGGUAAACAUUAAUGAGCUGUAUCGCUGGGGACAGGCAUUUAUUGCAGAAGAUAUGGACUGCAACUUGCCAACUGAAAAUUCCGAUCGUGCAUAUUGCAAGAUGGAGGACGGAGAAUUCGAAGGCUGCGAAUUUGAUGAUAGCAUUUCAGUAAGUUUUGAAUUUGACGAAACUAUCACAGAAGAAGAGCAAGAAGAAAUUAAAAAAGCGUACUACGAUGGUGGUGCUGGCUGGAUUUAUGACGGUGAGCACGACUGGGAAAUCGAAGACGACUAUGUUGUAGUAUACGCACCUUUUAAGGUAGAACUCUGCGAUGAGUAUGGCACUUCUAUAAAAGAAGUGUCACUGAGAAAAUUGGGCGCAUAACAUGAAGUGUAACCACUGCGGAGAGAAUAUAAAACAAAAUUGCGAUUGGCGCCAGGGUCGAUGCCCACAUAUUCCACCGUCAAUCAGCUUUAAAGUUACCACACUUUUACAGUGGUUUAAGCGCAUUUUCUCAAAUAAAUAAAAUACAGAGGUAGCGAGAAUGACAGAGAUACAUGCAAAGCCCAUUGUCGAUGGCAAGUUCUGGGUUGUUGAAGAAGGUGUGCCUUUAGUAGGUGAAGUCCCUGCGGAUGGAGCCCAAUGAGGUUGCAAAAAAUCGGUGGCUGCGACUGUUUAUUAAAAACACAGCACUCUGCAAACACGAAAGUGGACGUAUAGGGUGUGACGCCUGCCCGGUGCUGGAAGAUUAAAUGAUGGGGUGCAAGCUCUUGAUUGAAGUCCCAGUAAACGGCGGCCGUAACUAUAACGGUCCUAAGGUAGCGAAAUUCCUUGUCGGGUAAGUUCCGACCUGCACGAAUGGCGUAACGAUGGCCACACUGUCUCCUCCUGAGACUCAGCGAAGUUGAAAUGUUUGUGAUGAUGCAAUCUCCCCGCGGAAAGACGGAAAGACCCCAUGAACCUUUACUGUAGCUUUGUAUUGGACUUUGAACAGAUCUGUGUAGGAUAGGUGGGAGGCUUUGAAGUGCGGUCGCUAGAUCGCAUGGAGCCGACGUUGAAAUACCACCCUGGUGUGUUUGAGGUUCUAACCUAGGUCCCUUAUCGGGAUCGGGGACAGUGCAUGGUAGGCAGUUUGACUGGGGCGGUCUCCUCCCAAAGCGUAACGGAGGAGUUCGAAGGUACGCUAGGUACGGUCGGACAUCGUGCUAAUAGUGCAAUGGCAUAAGCGUGCUUAACUGCGAGACUGACAAGUCGAGCAGAUACGAAAGUAGGACAUAGUGAUCCGGUGGUUCUGUAUGGAAGGGCCAUCGCUCAACGGAUAAAAGGUACUCUGGGGAUAACAGGCUGAUACCGCCCAAGAGUUCAUAUCGACGGCGGUGUUUGGCACCUCGAUGUCGGCUCAUCUCAUCCUGGGGCUGUAGCCGGUCCCAAGGGUAUGGCUGUUCGCCAUUUAAAGAGGUACGUGAGCUGGGUUUAAAACGUCGUGAGACAGUUUGGUCCCUAUCUGCCGUGGGCGUUGGAAAUUUGACGGGGGCUGCUCCUAGUACGAGAGGACCGGAGUGGACGUACCGCUGGUGUACCUGUUGUUUCGCCAGAAGCAUCGCAGGGUAGCUAUGUACGGAAGAGAUAACCGCUGAAAGCAUCUAAGCGGGAAACUUGCCUGAAGAUGAGAUUUCCCGGAGGUUUAACCUCCAUGAAGGGUCGUUGAAGACCACGACGUUGAUAGGUCAGGUGUGGAAGCGCAGUAAUGCGUUAAGCUAACUGAUACUAAUUGCCCGUUAGGCUUGAUC
rnacentral:rRNA from 1 species